UCGGGAAUUUUGGGCAAUGGGCGAAAGCCUGACGCAGCAACGCCGCGUGAGUGAUGAAGGCCUUCGGGUCGUAAAGCUCUGUCGGAGGGAACGAAUGCUCUUGAGGUUAACAGCCUCGGGAGGUGACGGUACCCUCAAAGGAAGCACCGGCUAACUCUGUGCCAGCAGCCGCGGUAAUACAGAGGGUGCAAGCGUUGUUCGGAAUCAUUGGGCGUAAAGGGCGCGUAGGCGGCAAUUCAAGUCAUCUGUGAAAUCUCCGGGCUUAACUCGGAACGGUCAGAUGAUACUGCUUUGCUAGAGUGCAGAAGGGGCAAUCGGAAUUCUUGGUGUAGCGGUGAAAUGCGUAGAUAUCAAGAGGAACACCUGAGGUGAAGACGGGUUGCUGGGCUGACACUGACGCUGAGGCGCGAAAGCCAGGGGAGCAAACGGGAUUAGAUACCCACGUAGUCCCUGAGCGGGCUGGCAAGGCGCAU
rnacentral:rRNA from 1 species